rnacentral:tRNA from 1 species
GGAGAGGUGGCCGAGUGGUUGAAGGCACCGGUUUGCUAAACCGGCAUACGGGGUAAACCCGUAUCAAGGGUUCGAAUCCCUUCCUCUCCGCCA